rnacentral:tRNA from 1 species
UCCCAGUUAGUACAACGGUUAGUAUACGGCACUUUCACUUCAAAAAAAUUCUAACCAGACUUCAUGGUGUGAGCUGCUGAGAUCGGGGUUCGAUUCCCCGGCCGGGAA